rnacentral:lncRNA from 1 species
AAUGCUGUGACUCGGCUCGUCCAGAUUCUUAGUCAGCUAACCUUCAACUUUGAGUCAGCUAAGUGAACAUUCUGAGACAGCUCAGUAGCAGAUGUCAAAAUUUUAUCAUUUUGUCUGUUUUAUCUGUCUGAGACUGGAUCGGCUCAAAUCUUAUUUCAGUCAGCCAACUUGAUUGCUUAAUUGACUAACUGAUUUUCUAGAUAGGCCAGA